GAACAGGUAAACAGACAAACUGACGGCAGGAAAAGGAAAAGCUUUGCAAGUAAAUACAGAAUACAAUAUGAUGUGUUUUUAAUAAAAUAUGUUUUGCAAGAGUAACUAUGACACUUCACAGACACCAAAAGUAUCUGAAGAAGGUCAAGAAUUUCACCAUACACCUUCAGCCACUUGUAUUUCCCAAAAGCCUGCUCCAUUCAGUCCCCUCAUCUUCAGCGGUCCAUUUGGCCAUCUUCCUCAUUCUUCCCUGCUCCCCCACCCACACCAGUCAAAAGGGCAGAUAAACCUGUGUGGACCUGUGAGAAAGCUGGCUGUUGAAGUGGAUCAGGACCCAUUCCAGCCAGCAAGUCAUGCAGAGCUACCACUCCUGUGGCCCAAGACAAUGCCACAGCAGGACCACAAGUGGGUAUCUGCAACACUAUUUAGGGUUGGAGCACGAGGAAAAUGGAGCUGCGUGACAACCUGCAGCUUUGGUAUCACCCACCACAACCAGCUCUUUUGUACCACCAGGCUCCCAACCCUGACAGGUUCUUCUCCCAUGCUGCUGUGGAUGCCAUACAGACUGUGGAAGGUGCGAGUGCACUGUACAAAUCCAGCAUGUUCUAACCAUCAUCUGGCGGGGGGAGGUUUGCACAGGAGGGUACGGCAGGUCCUUGACAUUUACCAUUACUGCAAUGUAGUAAAUGAACCCCUGAUCUGCAACAAGUGUAGGGCCACUUAUCUGUCCAGAAUGAGGCAGGCAGAGCCAGGCAGUUCUACAACAGCUCAACUUUGAACACCGUUCUCAGUUCAGGGUUAUCCUUACACACAGAUUUGCCUGUGACAUACAUGUCAUCCACUUGCUGCAUGAG